rnacentral:rRNA from 1 species
AUGCAUGCAAGUCGAACGGAGCCGCCUUCGGGCGGUCACGUGGCGGACGGGUGAGGAACACGUGGGCGAUCUGCCCCGGGGCGGGGGAUAGCCACCAGAAAUGGUGGGUAAUACCGCAUGAGCUCGGUUGGUUACGGCCAGCCGAGGAAAGGCGCAAGCCACCCUGGGAGGAGCCUGCGGCGGAUUAGCUUGUUGGUGGGGUAACGGCUCACCAAGGCUGUGAUCCGUAGCUGGUCUGAGAGGACGGCCAGCCACAGGGGAACUGAGACACGGUCCCCACUCCUACGGGAGGCAGCAGCAAGGAAUUUUCCGCAACGGGCGAAAGCCUGACGGAGCAACGCCGCGUGGGGGAUGACGCUUUUCGGAGUGUAAACCCCUUUUCUCAGGGAUGAAUCAACUGACAGUACCUGAGGAAGAAGGCCCGGCUAACUACGUGCCAGCAGCCGCGGUAAUACGUAGGGGUCGAGCGUUGUCCGGAGUUACUGGGCGUAAAGCGCGCGCAGGCGGCGCGAUAAGACCGGCGUGAAAGCCCCCGGCUCAACCGGGGAGGGUCGUUGGUGACUGUCGCGCUUGAAGGCAGCAGGGGUGAGUGGAAUUCCCGGUGUAGUGGUGAAAUGCGUAGAGAUCGGGAGGAACACCCGUGGCGAAGGCGGCUCACUGGGCUGACCUUGACGCUGAGGCGCGAAGGCGUGGGGAGCGAACGGGAUUAGAUACCCCGGUAGUCCACGCAGUAAACGAUGCAGACUAGGCGUGGGGGGACUUGACCCCCUCCGUGCCGGAGCUAACGCGGUAAGUCUGCCGCCUGGGGAGUACGGCCGCAAGGCUAAA